rnacentral:rRNA from 1 species
ACCGUGAGGGAAAGCUGCAAAGCACUUUGAAGAGAGAGUUAAAGAGGACGUGAUACCGGUAAGGUGGAAACGGAUAGAGUCGGCGUAUCAUUCAAUUAUUCAGUUACAUUAUUUUUAUGUUGUGACCUCUGAGCUCCAGAUUGGGACAGAGGGAAUCAGCAUAAAUUUUUGUGGUGCAUUUACUUGAUUGGUGCUUGGGGAUGUUUGAGGCAGAUUUGUUUCCGUCGUUUUGAGGCCAGCUUGCUGGUACCCAAACGGUGUUAGCAUUUUUUGUCUUGGGCAUUUGAGUAUGGCUCACGUGUAUUUAUUGGACAGAUCUGAGUGUAAGUUACGGUCGCAUGCGACACGUGCUUUUCAAUUAGUUCGGUCCAGUUAAUGCUCUCGUACUCGUUCCCCAUGUAAAAGCCGGUCAUCUAUCCGACCCGUCUUGAAACACGGACCAAGGAGUUUAUCGUGUGCGCAAGUUUUUGGGUGUUAAAAACUUAAAAGCGAAAUGAAAGUAAAUGACUCUUUAGAGUCUGAUGUGCGAUCUUGUAAAAAAGUGUAGCAUGGCCCCAUUCUAACUGUUUACAGUAGGGUGGCGGAAGAGCGUACGCGGUGAGACCCGAAAGAUGGUGAACUAUUCCUGAGCAGGACGAAGCCAGAGGAAACUCUGGUGGAAGUCCGAAGCGGUUCUGACGUGCAAAUCGAUCGUCUGACUUGGGUAUAGGGGCGAAAGACUAAUCGAACCAUCUAGUAGCUGGUUCCUUCCGAA